UUACAUCUGUUAGAAGUUAGAAGUAGACUAUACAAUUGUUUAAGAAAUUUGGUCAUACGUUUUUUUAACGAAAUAUAGUCGAAGUGCAUAAACAAUUUAUACUUGUUUACAAUUAAGCAUCUAGAAAAAGAAAAAAAAGAACAUCAGGUGAAUGUAGUCGGAAUUUACAACUCAUUUGAAAGAACAUGCUACGAAUCAAACACUACAAUAAUGUACAUUAGAAUAAGUGAUUAAAUCGUACAACAAUAAUAGAAGUUAAAUUGCGUAUAACAAGUAUGUUCAUUGGAUAAUUUAAUCUCAUAGAGUCGAAGAGGUGGAUUUUAAUCGAAUUCGUUUUCUUGAGUAUGUAAUCAGUGGCAUGCAGCCUGUGAUGUAAUUAUUUUUAGAACAAUCGAUGUACCCAAUUGACCUGACCUACAUGCCGAAAUCGAGAUCGCGUGUAGAUCAGAGUUGGGUGUGUGUAAGCAGUGUGUUUAUGAAUGAAAUUGGAAAGUUUUGCACGUGCUCUGCAAAUAUUCACAUGCGGGAUUACUAAUUUGGAUUUGCCCUAAAUUGCAGGUUUGAAGUUCAAGGACAACACAGAGUGGCCAUCAGAGAACAAAGGGUCAAGUUCUACGAUUUCAAAGCUGUGAACGGACGUUUUGCACGGAGAGGCGUUACGGGGAGUGUACGGGGAGCGGGAAUUGGGGAGUGCACAGUGUACAUCAACGCCAUUUGUUCUGGGCAAGGUAGCGCCAAUGAAUACGUUUGACUGGCGAUCCUUGGGAUUUAAAAUUGUAUUGUCGCUCGCAACAUUGGGAGUGUUGGAUUCUUUAUGCAUCCGAUUGGUUUGCGCGUCUAGUGUGCGCUGUAGCGCUUGUGUGUGGCGGCAGUGGCGUGUUUUGGAAGACGAUGGAUAGCUUAGGCAUGCAUCGCAUAUAUAUGUGGUGAUUGAGGAGUAAGGCGUAUCUGGUAAAAAGUGUACGUUACUGGAUACAAGACUGAGACUGUGAGUGUUAUUUGGGAAGGACUCUACGUUUAUGUACGUAUCGGCUGCGGGAGUGCAUUGUGCGAGGGUUGAAUUGUCAUUGAAAAUGAUUGGAGACUGAAUGACAUUAUCAAAAAUGGAGUUAAAAAUGGAAUUUCUUACAGAGUAACAUUUAAACGUUGUUUUAUGUUGAUCAUAUUCUAUGUUAUUAUUAGGGUUAGCAAAUACAUGGUCACAAAUGGUUUCACAAGUAUUAUAAGAAUAUUCAUUAUGUUUAACAAAUUGUUUUUUGCUAACAAAUAUAUUGUCAGUGACAUUUGAUGAUAAAGCUUUGUCAAAACCGUC